rnacentral:lncRNA from 1 species
UCAUCAUAGCACAAUGCUUCGAAUACAAUAAAGAGUAAGUAAUAAUAUAAAAGACUAGAGUCAUUUACAUAAUAUAAUCAAAGUACACAGAAUAGAAACGUAGCCAACGUAAAUAAACCCACCACAGGCAGCUGACUGGGGGAGGUCGCUAUCCUAAUCCUCGAACUCGUCGAAGUCCUGGAACUCCUAGAGAUCUGCCUCGACACCUUCUUCUUUACCUGAGCAUAGAUUGCACCAAAGGCAACCUGGUAUUUUGUGAAAGCAAGGGUGAGUACACAUCAACGUACUCAGCAAAUGUCCCAUUUGGCUAAAGUGGACUAGCUUUAUGUGGGGUUAAGCUCAAGCAGUUGCUUUUAGUUGGUCAGGUAUUUAUUAUUAGUAGAAGCCAAGUUUUAUCAUAUACCCAACCCGUGAACCUUUUCCUCAUCGAGGAACAUCAUUAUCAUCAUCGAACCAAAAUAUUAAAUAGAACCAUUAUAUAUAUCGAACCAUCUGUAUCUCUAAUCAAAGAGGAUCCCAAGGCCGCUCAUAACCGUGAGCACGGCUCAUAUAUCAGUUUCAUUACCCUCUGCAGAGGUUGCACACUUUACCCAUGAGCCGUGAUUCCCGUUUUGCCCGGGGAUCAUGACUCCCUAUUGAUCACUUCCUAGGUGGUCCGGCAGGGUAUCACUACGUAGCCUUUACAAAGAUUCCCUAGAGGUCAUAGCCGCCCGUUAGGUUUCUCCAGUUUGAUAAACACAGUACCUCUCCCCGCAGGAGGGUGACUAACAAAAGCAAAACGAAAGAACCUCGGCACCCAGCCUCGGCAGAGCAAGCACUGUGCCUGGACCCCAUUGACGGCACGACGGCGAAGCAACUACACCUCUAGUUCCUCUAAUUAAUUAGCUAAGGGCGCCCCAUUUCACCCUCAUGGUUGCACUGUUAUCCCGGGUUGUCACUCCCCAAAUAGGUCCUUACGGAGAGGCACUCAGGAAACAGCCUGAGCCCCCUAAAGUAUCACAGGAACAUCAUCGGGAUAACAUCAUAGUAUCAUAAGUAUUCACAUCAUGUUCAUUGAUUCAAGUAAAGCAAUAGCAUAAUGCUAACCAUGAUAACCCAAAAGGUAAACAAGGAUAAGGUAAAUGGAAAGCUAGUCAAUCCUUAGGUUUCAAUUAAGUAAUGCGAGAUAGUGCAUUAAAAGUGAAUGGGACAUAAUGGGUCAGAGGACACUUGCCUCUACCAAACAGAUGCUCAGGGUCUUCAGCCUCAUGGAACUCGAAGAGCUAGAUCACUUGAUCGCCGAAGCUUGAUCAUCGAUUCCUCGAAGCGCGGGAACAAAUCACGAUCUAAUCGCAACACGAAGCGAAGACGAACAAGCACAAGCAAACAAACAUAUAUAAAUACAUAAUAACAUUACACCAUACAAGAUAAAAUGAUAUAAAAAUAUGCAGCAUAAAACAGAGCUCGAUUCUAUGGUCACGCGAGGGAAAGAAAUGUCGAACUCGAAGCGACGGUCGGGAAAAUAUCGCGUUUACGCUAAACAAGUAUUAACGCUAACAAUUAAUUCGACCUUAUCAAUUAUAAAUUAUAUCUACUAUUUAGUUUGAUUAAUCUGCUACACUAACAACUGUCAAAUAAAUAAGUAAUUUAAUUAACACAAGAGAUUCUAAGCGAGACGAAUUUAUGACAAGCGAAACAGUACGACAGCGUGCAAACGACACGCGAACACGCGCGACACAGCAUGCUGACGACACACGAAAUAGUGCGCACGACCAGCGCGAACGAUGCACAGCCACACGCGACAUAGCACGCUGACGACACACGAAACAGUGCGUGCGACCAGCACAAAUGACGCGCGAAUCAGCACGCGACUACGAGCGCGAACAACUCGUGCGACAGGCGAGAAAAACUAAAUAGUUGACACAUUUAUACUAAACACCUAUUAAAUAAGUUAAGCUAAUAUUAGCCAGGUUAAUGUUUAUUAUAAAAGCGCGAGGUAAACACUACACCUUUAGUCUAAUUGAAAUAUUAGUAUAAUAAAUAUUAGUCGAGCGAACAUUAAGUUAAUUAUCUAGCAUAUAUGACCUGACGAAUUAACGUUACUAACAUGAGUGUUUAUAAAUGAAAAUAAUUUACUAUCACGCGUAGACGCCGUGCGACACACGUGAUCGAUACAUGAGGUACACGCUAACGACGCGCGGCAAGGCGAGCAACACGACAACAACGAGCGCCACACGUGAGCGCGCGUGUCACGCGCGAAGGAGCACACGGAAGGCGUGCACACCCAUGUGUGACCAUGAGCAAAAGACGUGCGACGGUGCGCGCGAACAGCUCACGAUAACACGUGCCGGACGCGCGGCGCGAACGCGCGAACGAACGGCAGCAACGCGCAAACAGCACGCGACCUGCGAAAACAGCGUGACAUACGUAUACUACUAAUUGUGUCGUAUUUAUACUAAAUAAAUAAUAAAUGCAACACUUAAGUUGGCAUAACCACAAUAAUAUGUAUUUAUCACAUGCAUGGAUAGAAUUAACACUUAGUUCCGAUUGGUUUACAACUCGAUUAAUCAUCGUUUAAUAACGUCAAUUAAUUAACGUGAACGAUUAUAGAUGAAAUAGUUUAUUGCCGCUCGAUAUGGCACGCAACACAUUAAACAAGGGGCGCGGAACGGCGCACGCGACAGCGCGCGACCAACAACAAACAAGUAAUUAAAUAAAAUAUUUAAGCUGGUAUUAAUCAAGUUAAUUAACAUUUAUAUUUAUAAAAGCACGAGUUAAACUAUAGAUUUGUUCUACUUAAAUUGUUAUUUUAAUAACCCUCGAACAAACCAAUAAUUAAUUAUUUAAUUAAAACAUGUGUGGUGACAUCAUAAUAAUUUUAAUGUGUGCACAAGAUCAUUGCACGGUUAAUGUAACUGGAACGGAAUGAAUCGAAUAUCUAACGAUAAAGUUAGUAUAUAUAGCGUAAUAAUGGCGAUGUGGCGCGAUUCUAUCGGUCAGAAGCGUGUCAUACGAAGGGUCACAUGAAUCUCAGCCGUAGUGGAUCGCACAAAUGCAAAAAAAGAAAACAGAAAUGUGCAUGCAGAGGAGACGUUUGCAAGGGGAGAUGUAUGCAGUGAAGCCCACGUGAGUUUUCCUGGCUCUUGCUGCAUGCAUGCAGAUCACGAGUGGGAGGGGAAGACCGUUUCUUUUUCCUCUACUUGCUGAAACCACACGGGCACACAGGAAACGACAUGCAAGUGGGUCCCAUCGACAACUCCUUCUCCAUACCACGCACCAACGGUUAUUUUCAUCUCUCUGCUGCACGCCGGCAAAACAGGAUCGGCUAUCUAGACCUGAGGCAUGCCGGAGCGGGCUGGGCGGGGCUUUGCAUGGCUUCAGCGGCUCGUAGGGGCAGGGGACAGCGGAGGCGCAUGGCUGGGCAUGGGGCUUCACACCGGGGAAACGUGCACCGGCUAGGGGUCGUAGGGAGGACCGUGCGCCGGGGCUGGCUGAGCUGCCGCAGGAGGGCGCAGGCUGCGCAGGGGAACGCUUGGCCGAGGCUGUUCCGGGUGCACAACGAACGAGGGAGACGAAACGCACGGAUGCGCAACAUAGCACACAGCGACGCAGCACGGCGGUUUGACGACGACUGAGAGGGUGCAGCGACGCAGCACGGCGGUUCGACGACGAAUGAGAGGGUGCAGCGACGCAGCUUGCGAGCACGGCGACGCAACGGCAAGGGCAGACUCUGGUUGGGCAUGCGGGUGAUCGACAGACGGCAAGGAAGAAGGGCUGGGCGGGAUCUCACCUUGUGACGACGGCGAACGGCGAGGCUUGCCGGACGUGAAGAACUCGCAGGGGAUCCUUGGCCGGCCAGAGCGAGCUUGCCGCCGCUGUUGCUACAUGAUGAGGGAUGCUAGGGAGGUGCGGCCAUGGGAAGGAAUUGUGGUCUGCGACCUCCAUGGCUUGGCACUGCAGGAGGGCGAUGAGAUAGUUGUUUUGGAGAGAGGAGGGAGAGCGGGAAAGGACGUCGAGGUGCUUAAAUGGGCUGCACACGGACGGUUCUGAGGCUAUAGCGCAGUGGGCGUGCCUGAGGGGAGAGGGGAGAUAGAGAUACUACGCAUAGAGAAAAGAAUGCAGGGGUGUCGUGGGGAGGAGCUGGUGGGGCCAAGCGGCGCUGCUGCAGCCGGCCACUCACGCAAGCGCGCACGGGCGCGGCGUGCUGAGCUGCGCGCGGCUGGGCAGGGAUGGGC